UGGGGUCGCUAGGGGUGGCCUGCCGGGUGGCGGGCCUGAGAGAAAACCCUCGGAACCUGAUCAGGAUGGGCGGUCUAUGGGCGCCAGUGACGUGUUGGGCCGCUAUGCCUGCGUAGGAAAGCGAUGGACAGAUUGU
rnacentral:ncRNA from 1 species